rnacentral:lncRNA from 1 species
UUAGGCAGCAACCAUUUGAUUUUCUGGGGGGGGCUAUGGUUUUUUUUUCUACGCAAACUUUUUUUUUCGCCUUUGGCGAAAAACAAUCUAUUUUUUUGGCGACAAGAUGAAAACAAUUUUUUUCUUUCAAUUUUAACAUUACAUAUAGUGGCAGCUAAGGGUGAAACAAACAAUUUUUUUUUCUCAGGGUCAAAAACAAAUAAUUUUUUUCUCCAAAAAC